rnacentral:lncRNA from 1 species
GAAUGUUUUGCCUGUUCCUGAGGCUGUGCAAGAGGAACACGACAAGCAAUUGCUCAGUGCAUUUUUUAAACCUGUUAUUGCUAAUGAUAAAAAUUUUAGUUGUAAUGACUUUCUUCCCACUCUUUAUUUUUUCCAGCUUUCUUGGAGUCAAGAGGAAUGGUCUAUGACCAGGUAAAAUACUCAUUCAUGUGUAUGAUGUAACAAGUGCCAUGAUAUUUUGCAGCCAAAAGAAUUGCAUGGUUCUAUCUGCAAGCUGCUGGACUUUCAGGAUGGAGCUGUGUACAUUCAGCAAUGCAUUGAGCCUGGGACUAGGCUGCUCUUCCUGAUACCAUGGACAUUACUGCCUCCCCUAUGGGUACUCAUAAAAUAAUUCCUGCUAAUUGGAACAUCCCUGUUAAAAAGUGGGACAACUGCGCUGCCCUGAAAUGACCUGUUUCUGCAAUAUUUUGUCCCCAGGUUUAUCAUAUGCUCAGCUCAUCCAUCUGUGUCUCAGUCUCCAGUGGACUCAUGAGUUUCAUCAAGAAAACCAUUUUCAAACCAGCAGACCAAAACAGAUCGUUUUCGGCUCCAAGCUCCAUCGAGGCUUUGCAGUAAUUUUACCUUGUGUUUACGAUUUAUGGAUGCAACAUAUACACAGAGCAGACAAGAGUGGUCCAAAUAUUUUCCCCUUGCAGGGUAUGUGUUUUAAAAUAUUUCUCAUUCAGGGAACAGUUCUGCAAAUACUUGAAUGCAUGUGAAUACCUUUAUUCAGGCUGAUACCAUUCUGUCCUUUGGGGUGAGAU